ACUGUAUCCAUCAUUUAAUAUAACAGCCAACGUUAUCUCAAAGAUCUCAACGUCUCUACGCCAAAUCAUGAAGUUACUGUCCGUCUGUUUGUUGAUUGCUUCGGCGUUUGCAGAGCCCCCAGUUAAUAGCUAUCUACCCCCACAAAACGGCUUAUCGGCUCCGUCAGCCAGCUAUGGAGCACCAAGAUUUGGGCAGCGACAGACUCAAGCAUUGAUCGGUCGACCAAAAAACAACUUUAGCCGGCGGCCAUCUACAGAAUAUGGAGUACCAAGCCGUAAGCCCCAGCAGGAGUACCUUUCCCCUCAGAAUCAGCCUUCAACACAAUACGGAACACCCAACCAGGGCAUUGACAGAAUGCAGUUGGCAGGACUUUCUCAAGAAUACGGCGUCCCUGGUUUUGGGAACACAGGUGGAUACUCUGGUCAAGGGAGACAAGGAAGCUACGAUGACGGAAGUAAUGGAGAACCCGCUAACUACAACUUCGAGUACAUGGUAAAGGAUGACCAGUAUGGAACAGACUUUGGUCACCGCGAGUCGCGACAGGGCGACGUGG